rnacentral:rRNA from 1 species
AACCAAGGGAGCAGAGGCCGGAGGUAAUUGACAGGAGCCUUGCGCCGGGUUACGUAUGUUCUCCCCGGACAGACAGUCUCAGUUCGUAGAAUCUAUAAAUUACUGCUACUGAUGCUGCCGGGGAAAGGCGUAACGAAAAAACAGCCUCCGUUACCGGAUAGCAAGGAGGCUGAAUGGAGUUUACAGGAUUUGCUUUUGUAUAAUGUCUGGCCAUGCAGUAAAACCGGACAGGUUUUAUUAUCAUGUGAGGUAUUCUGACAUAAAAUGCUGGAUUUUUAUUUUGUGACGAAUGCUGCAAAAUUGAAUCUGCACUCUGAUGUAACUUUUAUCUGUUUCAGUGAAGCAUGCCCACAAACUGAGUUAUUAAGUUGUGGAAGAACAGCUCUGUCCCGCCUGCAUCUCUCCUUUCAGAAACCAGUAUGUUGCCAUGCCUCGUCUUAACGGAGAGCGCUGAACCAUACCUUCUUUUUCCAGUAAAAGGCGAAAAGAACCCCGGCGAGGGGAGUGAAAAAGAACCUGAAACCGUGUACGUACAAGCAGUGGGAGCCUCUUAAUGGGGUGACUGCGUACCUUUUGUAUAAUGGGUCAGCGACUUAUAUUCUGUAGCAAGGUUAACCGAAUAGGGGAGCCGAAGGGAAACCGAGUCUUAACUGGGCGUUAAGUUGCAGGGUAUAGACCCGAAACCCGGUGAUCUAGCCAUGGGCAGGUUGAAGGUUGGGUAACACUAACUGGAGGACCGAACCGACUAAUGUUGAAAAAUUAGCGGAUGACUUGUGGCUGGGGGUGAAAGGCCAAUCAAACCGGGAGAUAGCUGGUUCUCCCCGAAAGCUAUUUAGGUAGCGCCUCGUGAAUUCAUCUCCGGGGGUAGAGCACUGUUUCGGCAAGGGGGUCAUCCCGACUUACCAACCCGAUGCAAACUGCGAAUACCGGAGAAUGUUAUCACGGGAGACACACGGCGGGUGCUAACGUCCGUCGUGAAGAGGGAAACAACCCAGACCGCCAGCUAAGGUCCCAAAGUCAUGGUUAAGUGGGAAACGAUGUGGGAAGGCCCAGACAGCCAGGAUGUUGGCUUAGAAGCAGCCAUCAUUUAAAGAAAGCGUAAUAGCUCACUGGUCGAGUCGGCCUGCGCGGAAGAUGUAACGGGGCUAAACCAUGCACCGAAGCUGCGGCAGCGACACUAUGUGUUGUUGGGUAGGGGAGCGUUCUGUAAGCCUGUGAAGGUGGCCUGUGAGGGUUGCUGGAGGUAUCAGAAGUGCGAAUGCUGACAUAAGUAACGAUAAAGCGGGUGAAAAGCCCGCUCGCCGGAAGACCAAGGGUUCCUGUCCAACGUUAAUCAGGGCAGGGUGAGUCGACCCCUAAGGCGAGGCCGAAAGGCGUAGUCGAUGGGAAACAGGUUAAUAUUCCUGUACUUGGUGUUACUGCGAAGGGGGGACGGAGAAGGCUAUGUUGGCCGGGCGACGGUUGUCCCGGUUUAAGCGUGUAGGCUGGUUUUCCAGGCAAAUCCGGAAAACCAAGGCUGAGGCGUGAUGACGAGGCACUACGGUGCUGAAGCGACAAAUGCCCUGCUUCCAGGAAAAGCCUCUAAGCAUCAGGUAACAUCAAAUCGUACCCAAAACCGACACAGGUGGUCAGGUAGAGAAUACCAAGGCGCUUGAGAGAACUCGGGUGAAGGAACUAGGCAAAAUGGUGCCGUAACUUCGGGAGAAGGCACGCUGAUAUGUAGGUGAAGCGACUUGCUCGUGGAGCUGAAAUCAGUCGAAGAUACCAGCUGGCUGCAACUGUUUAUUAAAAACACAGCACUGUGCAAACACGAAAGUGGACGUAUACGGUGUGACGCCUGCCCGGUGCCGGAAGGUUAAUUGAUGGGGUUAGCGGUAACGCGAAGCUCUUGAUCGAAGCCCCGGUAAACGGCGGCCGUAACUAUAACGGUCCUAAGGUAGCGAAAUUCCUUGUCGGGUAAGUUCCGACCUGCACGAAUGGCGUAAUGAUGGCCAGGCUGUCUCCACCCGAGACUCAGUGAAAUUGAACUCGCUGUGAAGAUGCAGUGUACCCGCGGCAAGACGGAAAGACCCCGUGAACCUUUACUAUAGCUUGACACUGAACAUUGAGCCUUGAUGUGUAGGAUAGGUGGGAGGCUUUGAAGUGUGGACGCCAGUCUGCAUGGAGCCGACCUUGAAAUACCACCCUUUAAUGUUUGAUGUUCUAACGUUGGCCCGUAAUCCGGGUUGCGGACAGUGUCUGGUGGGUAGUUUGACUGGGGCGGUCUCCUCCUAAAGAGUAACGGAGGAGCACGAAGGUUGGCUAAUCCUGGUCGGACAUCAGGAGGUUAGUGCAAUGGCAUAAGCCAGCUUGACUGCGAGCGUGACGGCGCGAGCAGGUGCGAAAGCAGGUCAUAGUGAUCCGGUGGUUCUGAAUGGAAGGGCCAUCGCUCAACGGAUAAAAGGUACUCCGGGGAUAACAGGCUGAUACCGCCCAAGAGUUCAUAUCGACGGCGGUGUUUGGCACCUCGAUGUCGGCUCAUCACAUCCUGGGGCUGAAGUAGGUCCCAAGGGUAUGGCUGUUCGCCAUUUAAAGUGGUACGCGAGCUGGGUUUAGAACGUCGUGAGACAGUUCGGUCCCUAUCUGCCGUGGGCGCUGGAGAACUGAGGGGGGCUGCUCCUAGUACGAGAGGACCGGAGUGGACGCAUCACUGGUGUUCGGGUUGUCAUGCCAAUGGCACUGCCCGGUAGCUAAAUGCGGAAGAGAUAAGUGCUGAAAGCAUCUAAGCACGAAACUUGCCCCGAGAUGAGUUCUCCCUGACUCCUUGAGGGUCCUGAAGGAACGUUGAAGACGACGACGUUGAUAGGCCGGGUGUGUAAGCGCAGCGAUGCGUUGAGCUAACCGGUACUAAUGAACCGUGAGGCUUAACC